CAGGCACUCACUCCAUCUGAAUCUCGCUGACUGAGGAGAGGCGCUCAAGCCACAUUUAAAUGCUGGCACUGAAGGGGUGCCACCGCCGAUCCUCAAGGCCGGGUGUACCAUCGAGGCGGACCAAUCGCGUUCGAGCUGGGUGAACAUGGCACUUCCUCGAACGAGUUCCGAGAAGUGAAUAUGUGACAAGGAUAUUUCACACGAAUUACGAAGCCAAGAAUCAGAGAAGAGGGUUAAACCCAGUGCCAUUAGCGAACGUGAAUUACCCGGUAAUCAUUAGCGAAGAGGAAUUACCCAGAGAAAAUUAACAAAGAGAUAUAAAAAAAAAGAAAAAAAAAAUAUCAGCUCAUCGGGAAUACCCAGUAAGUGAAACGAACAAACACUUAUGAGAACUAACGCCAAAAAAAAAAGAUAAUUAAAAACAAAACGAAACAAAAUGAGAUUAUCAAAACAAGACAAGAACAACGAAAACAACAGUGCGUUAGUAAUUAAUGCACCUGCUUAUCAACUAACCCGCCUUGGCUAACCUACGUCUUCAUCACGACCUCCUUCAUCGUGAAAAAUCUUGCCUUCCUUUCCUCUCCUUUACAUUCUGUUUAUUUAUCUACGUAUUUAUAAUUCUCUGAUCUCUUCGUUCAGAGUUGAAGUUCGGAAGAUGACCAUAGAGAAUUUUUUAUUCGAGAAACUGUUAAGGAAAGGUCAUCGAUUCCAGGCAUUCGAAUGAACAUAUAAUAUACAUAUAUAGUUCAUAUGAAAAAAAAAAAGUAUACUAAAGUUAAAUCGACGAGAGAGAAUGA